rnacentral:rRNA from 1 species
UACGUAGGGGGCAAGCGUUGUCCGGAAUCAUUGGGCGUAAAGCGCGUGUAGGCGGCUCGAUAAGUCUGCUGUGAAAGUCCAGGGCUCAACCCUGGAAUGCCGGUGGAAACUGUCGAGCUAGAGUCCGGAAGAGGCGAGUGGAAUUCCUGGUGUAGCGGUGAAAUGCGCAGAUAUCAGGAGGAACACCAAUGGCGAAGGCAGCUCGCUGGGACGGUACUGACGCUGAGACGCGAAAGCGUGGGGAGCAAACGGG